GCUUUCUGGAUCAUUACUGACACUGAGGAACGAAAGCAUGGGUAGCGAAGAGGAUUAGAUACCCUCGUAGUCCAUGCCGUAAACGAUGUGUGUUAGACGUUGGAAAUUUAUUUUCAGUGUCGCAGCGAAAGCGAUAAACACACCGCCUGGGGAGUACGACCGCAAGGUUAAAACUCAAAUGAAUUGACGGGGACCCGCACAAGUAGUGGAGCAUGUGGUUUAAUUCGAAGAUACGCGCAGAACCUUACCAACACUUGACAUGUUCGUCGCGACUUUAAGAGAUUAAAGUUUUCGGUUCGGCCGGACGAAACACAGGUGCUGCAUGGCUGUCGUCAGCUCGUGUCGUGAGAUGUUGGGUUAAGUCCCGCAACGAGCGCAACCCUCACUUUUAGUUGCCAUCAUUAAGUUGGGCACUCUGAAAGAACUGCCAGUGAUAAGCUGGAGGAAGGUGGGGAUGACGUCAAGUCCUCAUGGCCCUUACGUGUUGGGCUACACACGUGCUACAAUGGUAUUUACAACAGGAAGCAAGACGGCGACGUUAAGCAAAUCCUUAAAAAAUACCUCAGUUCGGAUUGCACUCUGCAACUCGAGUGCAUGAAGCUGGAAUUACUAGUAAUCGUGGAUCAGCGUGCCACGGUGAAUGCGUUCCCGGGUCUUGUACACACCGCCCGUCACACCAUGGGAGUUGGUUCUACCUUAAGGCAAGGUUUUAAACCCUUGACCACGGUAUAGUCAGCGACUGGGGUGAAGUCGUAACAAGGUAGCCGUAGGGGAACCUGCGGCUG
rnacentral:rRNA from 1 species